rnacentral:rRNA from 1 species
CUGGCUGUAAACGAUGGUCACUAGGUGUUGGGGGAUCGACCCCCUCGGCGCCGAAGCUAACGCAUUAAGUGACCCGCCUGGGGAGUACGGUCGCAAGACUGAAACUCAAAGGAAUUGACGGGGGCCCGCACAAGCGGUGGAGCAUGUGGCUUAAUUCGACGUUACGCGAAGAACCUUACCAGGACUUGACUGUCACGGAAUCCCGGGGAAACUCGGGAGUGCCCUUCGGGGAACCGUGAAACAGGUGG